rnacentral:rRNA from 1 species
UACAGAGGUGGCAAGCGUUGUUCGGAAUUACUGGGCGUAAAGGGCGCGUAGGCGGCCAUCUAAGUCAGACGUGAAAUCCCCCGGCUUAACCUGGGAACUGCGUCUGAUACUGGACGGCUAGAGUAUGGGAGAGGGAUGUAGAAUUCCAGGCGUAGCGGUGAAAUGCGUAGAUAUCUGGAGGAAUACCGGUGGCGAAGGCGGCAUCCUGGACCAUUUACUGACGCUGAGGCGCGAAAGCUAGGGGAGCAAACGGG